UACACUCCUGCGGGAGGCAGCAGUGGGGAAUUUUGGCCAAUGGGCGAAAGCCUGAUCCAGCAAUGCCGCGUGAGUGAAGAAGGCCUUCGGGUUGUAAAGCUCUUUUGUCAGGGAAGAGACGGUGAGAGCUAAUAUCUUUUGCUAAUGACGGUACCUGAAGAAUAAGCACCGGCUAACUACGUGCCAGCAGCCGCGGUAAUACGUAGGGUGCAAGCGUUAAUCGGAAUUACUGGGCGUAAAGCGUGCGCAGGCGGUUUUGUAAGUCUGAUGUGAAAUCCCCGGGCUCAACCUGGGAAUUGCAUUGGAGACUGCAAGGCUAGAAUCUGGCAGAGGGGGGUAGAAUUCCACGUGUAGCAGUGAAAUGCGUAGAUAUGUGGAGGAACACCGAUGGCGAAGGCAGCCCCCUGGGUCAAGAUUGACGCUCAUGCACGAAAGCGUGGGGAGCAAACAGGAUUAGAAACCCUGGUAGUCCC
rnacentral:rRNA from 1 species